GUUAAUCGAGACUAAAUCUCUCCGUCGACGGGACUCCGGGGUUCAGUCUUUAUCUUGGCGCGGCGCGGUUCGGACGCGGUUUCGGGAAGAUUGCUCCACUAACAGCCUCAUCUGGGACGUGAUAGGCGAGGCAAAGAUUGAUGCCUUAAUCGGAUUUGAUUGGCCUCCGGCAGUGUAUUGUCGUUGUUGUUGUUGUUGUUUUUAUAGCUGUUGUGGGAUUUGUGGUGUAAAGAUAAUUGCAGUCGUUUGUCGUCAUCGUCGUCGUCGUCGUGGGGAUGAAAGGGUCACAAUCGGGGAUGACCCCUAAACUGGAGUGAUUGGGAGCACGUUUGUUAAGUGCGUGUGUGCUGCGGCUGUGUGUCUUGUUGUGGUGGCGCAAGCAGUGCUUAUAUCGCGUGCUGGAUGCCCGUAGCUGAAGUGUGAUUACCAUGUAAAUGAUAUAUCGUGUCGAUACAAUUAAAGCCCGGAUAGUAGUGCGUUCGGUGUUGCCUGUCAAGAUAAUCAAGAAUCCAUAAAUGUUGAAGAUUUAUAGUUUGAAUUACAUGCAACUAAAGAAGAUCACUGGGAGCAAUCGAAGAAAUACAAUCGAAUUCGGAAAUAGUGGUUGUGUUCUAUAAAUGUGCUUAAUGUGUUUAUUGUUGGUUGAAGAAAACUGUGGAACAGAUAAUUACGUGGAAUAACUACAGCUGGUGAAAAACUUACAAUAAGGUGCAUGACACGACUCAUACAUUACCAGCGAUUGUGUAAUAUGCAAAAAGGGUGUAAAAGCAACAUGCCGAACGAAUACCGUAUUUAAUUUGUAUCAUAAAGUGGUUGAUCAACCGUGGUGAAAAUGGAUGUUUAAUAAAUAAUGAAAGCUAUGAAUAUCAAUAGUGUACAAUAAUUAUUAUCGUUCCGUGUUAAAUGAUGUGAAUCCAUAAUUGCUUCUCCGGGUUUCGCAAAUGGCUUUUUAUCCCUCGGGUUUUAUUUCAAAGUGAGUGUUAAAGUGAACCCAUCGAUUGUGCUCCUAAAUAAUUAACGUGAAAUUUCAUCGAAGGAUUUGCCGAUCAUAAUAUAGAUGUUAAAUAUUAAUUCGCGAUUUGCGCAAGUAAUCAGCUUUCGAUUAACGGAUUCUGAUUAGGAGAUUGAAAAACAAAAACUUAGUACAAUCUCGAGCUGACACGUGUUAACCGUAACCGGAGAAAGCUUAUUUCCCGUGCGUGUGUGCAUGCCAAGGACCACCAGCAAAGGGGAAGGAUUUCCCACGAGGAUUACCGACACGAGAUUUUAUCACUUGUGCUGCCACGGUUUUAUGGAAGCAGGAGAAUUUAAAUUGAGCGCACUGCAAAGGACGAAACAUGCCGGUCGAGUUCCGGUAGAGAGGAAGCUGAGUAAUGCAGCUGGAGAGGAUCCCUGCAAUGAGCCGAAGAAUGCCUCCGGUU